rnacentral:rRNA from 1 species
UACAGAGAGUGCAAACGUUGUUCGGAAUUACUGGGCUUGAAGCGCACGUAGGCGGCUUAUUAAGUCAGGGGUGAAAUCCUGGAGCUCAACUCCAGAACUGCCUUUGAUACUGAUGAGCUUGAGUUCGGGAGAGGUGAGUGGAACUGCGAGUGUAGAGGUGAAAUUCGUAGAUAUUCGCAAGAACACCAGUGGCGAAGGCGGCUCACUGGCCCGAUACUGACGCUGAGGCGCGAAAGCGUGGGGAGCAAACAGG